rnacentral:rRNA from 1 species
AGCGAACGCUGGCGGCAGGCUUAACACGUGCAAGUCGAGGGGUAGAAGCAGCUUGCUGCUUUGAGACCGGCGCACGGGUGCGUAACGCGUAUGCAAUCUACCUUUUACUAAGGAAUAGCCCAGAGAAAUUUGGAUUAAUGCCUUAUGGUAUAUUUGAAUGGCAUCAUUUAAAUAUUAAAGAUUUAUUGGUAAAAGAUGAGCAUGCGUCCCAUUAGUUAGUUGGUAAGGUAACGGCUUACCAAGACGAUGAUGGGUAGGGGUCCUGAGAGGGAGAUCCCCCACACUGGUACUGAGACACGGACCAGACUCCUACGGGAGGCAGCAGUGAGGAAUAUUGGUCAAUGGAGGCAACUCUGAACCAGCCAUGCCGCGUGCAGGAUGACGGUCCUAUGGAUUGUAAACUGCUUUUGUACAGGAAGAAAAAGAGUUACGUGUAGCUUAUUGACGGUACUGUAAGAAUAAGGAUCGGCUAACUCCGUGCCAGCAGCCGCAGUAA